rnacentral:rRNA from 1 species
AACGAACGCUGGCGGCAUGCCUAACACAUGCAAGUCGAACGAAGGCUUCGGCCUUAGUGGCGCACGGGUGCGUAACGCGUGGGAACCUGCCCCUCGGUUCGGAAUAACAGUUAGAAAUGACUGCUAAUACCGGAUGAUGACUUCGGUCCAAAGAUUUAUCGCCGAGGGAUGGGCCCGCGUAGGAUUAGCUAGUUGGGUGGGGUAAAGGCCUACCAAGGCGACGAUCCUUAGCUGGUCUGAGAGGAUGAUCAGCCACACUGGGACUGAGACACGGCCCAGACUCCUACGGGAGGCAGCAGUGGGGAAUAUUGGACAAUGGGCGAAAGCCUGAUCCAGCAAUGCCGCGUGAGUGAUGAAGGCCUUAGGGUUGUAAAGCUCUUUUACCAGGGAUGAUAAUGACAGUACCUGGAGAAUAAGCUCCGGCUAACUCCGUG